rnacentral:rRNA from 1 species
CCUACGGGUGGCAGCAGUGAGGAAUAUUGGUCAAUGGGCGCUAGCCUGAACCAGCCAAGUCGCGUGAAGGAUGACUGCCCUAUGGGUUGUAAACUUCUUUUAUAUGGGAAUAAAGUGCAGUACGUAUACUGCUUUGCAUGUACCUUAUGAAUAAGGAUCGGCUAACUCCGUGCCAGCAGCCGCGGUAAUACGGAGGGUGCGAGCGUUAUCCGGAUUUAUUGGGUGUAAAGGGCUCGUAGGCGGUAUGUCAAGUCAAGGGUGAAAUCCCCGGGCUCAACGGGGGAACUGCCUUUGAUACUGGCAAACUGGAGUGUAGAUGAGGUAGGCGGAAUUCCAGGUGUAGGGGUGAAAUGCGUAGAGAUC